GAUGAACGCUAGCUACAGGCUUAACACAUGCAAGUCGAGGGGCAGCAUGGUCUUAGCUUGCUAAGGCCGAUGGCGACCGGCGCACGGGUGAGUAACGCGUAUGCAACUUACCUAUCAGAGGGGGAUAGCCCGGCGAAAGUCGGAUUAAUACCCCAUAAAACAGGGGUCCCGCAUGGGAAUAUUGUUAAAGAUUCAUCGCUGAUAGAUAGGCAUGCGUUCCAUUAGGCAGUUGGUGGGGUAACGGCCCACCAAACCGACGAUGGAUAGGGGUUCUGAGAGGAAGGUCCCCCACAUUGGUACUGAGACCACGGACCAAAACUCCUACGGGAGGCAGCA
rnacentral:rRNA from 1 species